CCUGGGGCUUGGGCCUGUGUUUGCUCUGUGAGGCCGGAGGGAGCUGUGCCAGCCCUGCACACACAGCCUGCUCUAUUCUGGGGCCAGAGAGAGGAGACGGGCCUGGGGCAGCUCUCCCAGCCUCCCCGCAGGGGCCUCGGUCCUGAUGACUCUCAGGGACAGCUCCAGAGGCCCAGUGAUUUAUGGCCACAGCUCUCUCUCUCUCCAUCUGGCUUGCUUGUCCCUGCUGGACAAGUGGGGCAGACUUGAGAAGAAACACAGUGAGCUGCUGGUGCUUCUGCCCAGGCACCUCUGCUGCCUGCUCCCGCGGCUGGGUUCUCCCAUGUCAGUAGAGGCUGGAAUUGGGUUGCUGGUCUUCAGGUGGAUGUCAUUCUUUCCUUUCUCCUUUUGGUACUGAGCCUUGGACCCCCAGAUUUUGUGCCCACUAAGCUGGGCUUUUACCACUGAGGCAGAAUCGUGGCUGCUUGGAGAGCCGGACACCCUGUCCCUGGAAAGCGAUCCCUAGACCCCAGGGACGGGGACAGGGACAGGCACACCAGGCCCCCCAUCCGCCCCACCAUUCCGUGCUGGGG
rnacentral:lncRNA from 1 species